CAUCCUGAAAGACGGUACCACCAAGGUGGACCGAAGCGGAAAGGAAGCGAUG
rfam:Mariprofundus ferrooxydans PV-1 scf_1099921033918 genomic scaffold, whole genome shotgun sequence.